GUGCUAUACUGCAAGUCGAACGCUUCUUUUUCCACCGGAGCUUGCUCCACCGGAAAAAGAAGAGUGGCGAACGGGUGAGUAACACGUGGGUAACCUGCCCAUCAGAAGGGGAUAACACUUGGAAACAGGUGCUAAUACCGUAUAACAAUCAAAACCGCAUGGUUUUGAUUUGAAAGGCGCUUUCGGGUGUCGCUGAUGGAUGGACCCGCGGUGCAUUAGCUAGUUGGUGAGGUAACGGCUCACCAAGGCCACGAUGCAUAGCCGACCUGAGAGGGUGAUCGGCCACAUUGGGACUGAGACACGGCCCAAACUCCUACGGGAGGCAGCAGUAGGGAAUCUUCGGCAAUGGACGAAAGUCUGACCGAGCAACGCCGCGUGAGUGAAGAAGGUUUUCGGAUCGUAAAACUCUGUUGUUAGAGAAGAACAAGGAUGAGAGUAACUGUUCAUCCCUUGACGGUAUCUAACCAGAAAGCCACGGCUAACUACGUGCCAGCAGCCGCGGUAAUACGUAGGUGGCAAGCGUUGUCCGGAUUUAUUGGGCGUAAAGCGAGCGCAGGCGGUUUCUUAAGUCUGAUGUGAAAGCCCCCGGCUCAACCGGGGAGGGUCAUUGGAAACUGGGAGACUUGAGUGCAGAAGAGGAGAGUGGAAUUCCAUGUGUAGCGGUGAAAUGCGUAGAUAUAUGGAGGAACACCAGUGGCGAAGGCGGCUCUCUGGUCUGUAACUGACGCUGAGGCUCGAAAGCGUGGGGAGCAAACAGGAUUAGAUACCCUGGUAGUCCACGCCGUAAACGAUGAGUGCUAAGUGUUGGAGGGUUUCCGCCCUUCAGUGCUGCAGCUAACGCAUUAAGCACUCCGCCUGGGGAGUACGACCGCAAGGUUGAAACUCAAAGGAAUUGACGGGGGCCCGCACAAGCGGUGGAGCAUGUGGUUUAAUUCGAAGCAACGCGAAGAACCUUACCAGGUCUUGACAUCCUUUGACCACUCUAGAGAUAGAGCUUCCCCCUUCGGGGGCAAAGUGACAGGUGGGUGCAUGGAUUGUCGUCAGCUCGUGUCGUGAGAUGGUUGGGUUUAAGUCCCGCAACGAAGCGCAUCAUUAUUG
rnacentral:rRNA from 1 species